UCGCUUUGGGAGGAGCUCGCUUACUAUCAGCUUGUUGGUAGGGUAACGGCCUACCAAGGCUAUGACGGUUAGGGGGUGUGAGAGCAUGACCCCCAGCAUUGGCACUGAAACACUGGCCAAACACCUACGGGUGGCUGCAGUCGAGAAUCUUCCACAAUGGGGGAAACCCUGAUGGAGCGAUGCUGCGUGCGGGAUGAAGGCCUUCGGGUUGUAAACCGCUUUUGUAGGGGACGAAAUUUUUGACGGUACCCUUUCGAAUAAGAGGUUGCUAACUCUGUGCCAGCAGCAGCGGUAAUACAGAGACCUCAAGCGUUAUCCGGAUUUACUGGGCGUAAAGCGUCUGUAGGGGGUUUAUUAAGUUCCAAGUAAAAUUUCAAGGCUCAACUUUGAAUUCGCUUGGAAAACUAAUAAACUGGAGUCUAGCAGAGGUGCAUGGAACUUGUGGUGUAGGAGUGAAAUCCGUUGAUAUCACAAGGAACACCAAAGGCGAAGGCAUUGCACUGGGCUAGCACUGACCCUGAGAGACGAAAGCGUGGGGAACAAAACGGAUUAGAUACCCGUGUAGUCCACGCCCUAAACGAUGAAUGCUAAAUGUUCGGGGAUUCGACCCCCUGGGUGUUACAGCUAACGCGUUAAGCAUUCCGCCUGGGAAGUACGGCCGCAAGGCUAAAACUCAAAGGAAUAGACGGGGAUCCGCACAAGCGGUGGAGCGUCUGGUUUAAUUCGACAGUAAGCGUGGUACCUCACCAGGGUUUGACAUCCCUUGACGGCCUUGGAAACAAGGUUUCCUUCGGGCAAGGUGACAGGUGCUGCAUGGUCGUCGUCAGUUCGUGCCGUGAGGUGUUCCGUUAAGUCGGGAAACGAACGAAACCCCUAUUGCAUGUUACAAUUUCUCAUGCAAGACUGCCCGGAUAUACUGGGAGGAAGGUGGGGAUGACGUCAGAUCUGCAUGGUCCUUAUACCCUGGGCGACACAGGCGCUACAAUGGCAGGGACAAAGGGUUGCAAAACCGCAAGGUGAAGCUAAUCCCAAAAACUUUGUCUAAGUUCGGAUUGAAGGCUGCAAUUCGCACUUCAUGAAGCUGGAAUCGCUAGUAAUCGUGAAUCAGCCACGUCACGGUGAAUAUGUUCCCGGAUCUUGUACUCACCGCCCGUCACACCAAGAGAGUUGGUAGCUCACCGAAGCGUCCCGUUUUAGCGGGGC
rnacentral:rRNA from 1 species